UCAUCUGGAAUGAAUCAUCUCUCUCUAACGGCAUUCAGUAAACAGAGCAGAUGAGUGGAGAUGUUGUCCUUUAACUGGUAAGAUAAUGAAGUACUGUGGGAUCUGACUUCCGGGCCGGCCAGGGCAGGUUGGAGUAAGUUCGGCCCAGCGCAGGGAGCUGCAGUGUGGGGCAGGGCGCCAUGGCAGGUGCCUGUGUCAGCAGUACUGCCGGCCAAGGGGAGAGGUCAAUCUCACACCUCCAGCAGGAGCUGUGCUGCUUCGCCCUCGACAAGCCAAGCAGAACAACUGGGGACUUACGAUGGACUGAGAAGGGGCCCAUGGAUAGAUUCCAAAGAGGUUAAUGCCACAACACUGGUAAAUUUUCCACCUAAAUCCAGUUCAUUCUAUAGAUAUUGUGUGGAUUUUUAUUCUAUCAGUGAUUCCUCUCACAUGUGAGCAUAUGACUGGCACGGGGCGAGGGCGUGAACCAAAGCAUUGGUUUAUAGUGUGAAAAACAGUUAAGCAGAAGGUUGGCUUCCCCUAACCUCUGUUUGUUGGUCCCGUGGAGAGAAGCUUGGCCGUAGGGGACGCUAGCUGUGGAAAUGGAUUAUGAUCACUACAGAGAGACCGUGAUACGGUGAAUGUGAUGAAUAAGGUUUGGUUGAGCAGCCAGUGCCAUACUCCUCAGUCUAAAGACAGUAGUGACUUCUCGGCUUUGAUCUGAUUUUUUUUUUUUUUUUUUUUAUAUACCAGAAUGUUUUAAAAUAGGUCGCUGUAUGAGAUGCCUAGUAAAGGCAACUGAAAUCACUUAUUGGAUUUAAUCUUACUAUUUAAUAUCCUGUUUUUUUUUUUUUUUGCAAAUAAUUACUCAUGUGCUCCAGACAUUUGAUACAGAGCUUGGCAUUAAAAUUCAUAAUAUCAUCUUGUCCCCAGCAAGGCAACAUUUGAUAUUACAUUAAAGGCCUAGAGGAAAACCCGUUUGCCAGAAUCUCAUCAAAUCAUAUUUCUAAAAAUAUUGCGGAACAUGUUUCACUCAAAUAUCUACUGCACAUUUUUUUUUUUUUGUUGGUCCAAAAGAGACAAAAAUUCCCCCUGCUAUUUAUUUUCUUUUUUGUGCCCCAGUCUUUUUUUCCAAAAUCCUUUAUUGGAUUCCAUGACUCCCUCUCUUUCUCUCUUUAACCGAUUCUCUUGAUAGCAAUUUAAUUUAAUCUGGGGGGCUCCAAGCAGCUACGUCCUUUGAUGUUUCUUUGACAGGCUCUCAUAACACAUCAGAUUUGAUCUAACCUUUCUUGGUGGAUAGAAAGAGAGAAUAAAGAUCAAUUAUUAGGUGAAUUUGAAGUUGCA
ensembl:lncRNA